UUGCAAACAACAAUCACUCUUUAAUUUAUUUUCUUUUCGACUUCUUUAUGAAGAAGAAAGAACAGAUAGGGUGUGACAUAUAUGAUCAUGUUCUAAACACCCAAAUACCCAACUAAGAAAAUCAUUAUUACCAACCAAAAAGAAAAAGAAAAACACCCAAAUAACAAAUUAAGAGAAUCUUGAUCUUCUCCUAAGGUGUUAGCAUCUUCAAGGAUAACCUGCUCCGAUACCAAUUGAUAUUUUAUACUUCAAUGUCACGCAAGGGGGAGGGGUGAUUUGUGUGGUGUCCAAUUUUCGCGUGCACUGAUUCUAGAAGGACCUGGUUCUUCUAAGUGUUCCUUAUAUUAUUGUUGCUGAAAUACUAAAUACGGAAAGUAAAGAACACAAGUAUUUUUACGUGGAAAAUACCCGACUCAAAAGGUAAAAACAUUACGACCUACUACUUAGUAGGAUUUUCCCCAACACUUCACUAAAUCAGUGAGCCAAAAUAGCAUUUACAAAACUCUUUGUAAACCUAAGGAUUAACUCUAAUCCCGUUGUGGCAACCAGCCUCUAACUGUUGCGACAACUUCAAGUUAACUCUAACUUGAAUACUCAGAGUACCUAAUACAAUUGCUUCUAAUAAAGCUGAAAGGUACAACUUGAAAACACCUACUACAAUUGAACUAGAAUAAGAGACAGACGCUUGGAACUGUUUCUUCUAUUUGGUUCAUGUAGCUUCAGGUUCGCACACUUGAAUCACACGAGAAUUGCUUGCAAAAUGCCUUACUAUUUUGCUCUCAACUCAUAUUUAACUUCAGCGUUUGUGCGUACCUGUAGAAUGAGAACAUCCUGCAAUAUAUAGAGUUAGUAGAAUGGAAAAUAACUAGAGUUCUAAUGCUACUCUCCCUUGGUGGAAGAGUUCUAGUUAUCUUCAUGCACAAGUUAUCAAAACAAAACUUCACUUGGGCCAACAAAAUCCAACUAGAUAUCAAGUUAUCAACAGAAAAAGAUCAGCCACGACUCUCCCUUUUGAAUAAUGAAUUCUUCCUAAUUAUACUAUAACGUCGAUAAAUUAAUCUUCUUUUGCAGUAUCAACUGUUUUCUACUCAAUGAAAUUGAUUUAUUCAGAUCUAUUUUUUGAAUAGUAUGAAAAGUAAUAAUGAAGUAAUUAUAUGAUCAGAGUUAACUUAUUUGUUUGAUGAAAAAAAUCUUAAGACAAAUUUUGAAAUCGAAUCAAACUUAAAUAUCCCACAACGAUAUAUAUUUCACUAGGCCAAAUUUGUAAGUAAUUUCUCAUUGUUAGCAACUGAAAGUAGUGUUUGAUAUUGACUCAUUAAUUCAAAAAAAAAAGAUAUUGAAUCAUUCACCCCUCAUAAGACACCCUACUGUUCGAAUUCGAAAGCGCUAUUAGCUUCACCCGCCAUUGACAGAAGUUUGUAAUAAAAACAUAAGCUUUAACUAUUUAUUUGCAAACAACAAUCACUCUUUUAUUUAUUUUCUUUUCUACCUCUUUAUGAAGAAGAAAGAGUACACAUAGGGUGUAACAUAUAUCAUCAUGUUCUAAACACCCAAAUACCCAACGAAGAAAAUCAUUAUUACCAACCAAAAACAAAAAGAAAAACACCCAAAUAACAAACUAAGAGAAUCUUAAAA
rnacentral:lncRNA from 1 species